GAGGCUUUAUCUUAAUAAAAGUAUCUGAUUUGCAUUCAGAAGAUAUAGGUUAAUGUCCUAUAAGUCUUA
rnacentral:tRNA from 1 species